rnacentral:rRNA from 1 species
UACGGAGGGUGCGAGCGUUAAUCGGAAUAACUGGGCGUAAAGGGUACGCAGGCGGGCUUUUAAGUGAGAUGUGAAAUCCCCGGGCUUAACCUGGGAAUAGCAUUUCAGACUGGGUUUCUAGAGUACUGUAGGGAGGGGUGGAAUUCCACGUGUAGCGGUGAAAUGCGUAGAGAUGAGGAGGAAUACCGAAGGCGAAGGCAGCCCCUUGGGAAUGUACUGACGCUCAUGUGCGAAAGCGUGGGGAGCAAACAGG